rnacentral:rRNA from 1 species
AACGAACGCUGGCGGCAGGCUUAACACAUGCAAGUCGAGCGCCCCGCAAGGGGAGCGGCAGACGGGUGAGUAACGCGUGGGAACGUACCUUUUGGUUCGGAACAACUCCGGGAAACUGGAGCUAAUACCGGAUAAGCCCUAACGGGGAAAGAUUUAUCGCCGAAAGAUCGGCCCGCGUCUGAUUAGCUAGUUGGUGAGGUAACGGCUCACCAAGGCGACGAUCAGUAGCUGGUCUGAGAGGAUGAUCAGCCACACUGGGACUGAGACACGGCCCAGACUCCUGGGGGAGGGGGGAGUGGGGAAUGUUGCACAAGGGGCGGGGGCCUGAACCCCCCAGGCCGGGUGAGUGAUGUAGUCUUGAGGGUAAAAAAGCUUUUUUGUCCGGGAAGAUAAUGACGGUACCGAAAGAAUAAGCCCCGGCUAACUUCGUG